CUCCUCCUCCUCCUCCUCCCGCCUCCGCAGCAAUGGCGCCCUGCUUCCCUUGCGGGCCCAGGCUUCCUCCGGGGUCCCCUCGGCUGUGGCCUUUGGCUCCCCAGCCCCUCAGACUGUCCCCUCACAGCCUACCGCAGCCCUCUCCCCGGCACCGGCCUCCAGAGCCUGCGUCUCAGCACCCAGCCCCCGCCCGAGCAUCUCCGGCCGCGGCGGUGGUGCAGGUGGUAGAUGGUCUGUGCGGCUCCAGCGCUGCCUGGUUCUCCUCCGACCAGCUGCUGUGCUUUUCUCCACGACGUUGAGGUCCCUCCGUCUCCGCUGAUGUCCCGUCGGUUGACGUUCUUCUGCCCGCGUUCAGGAGAUGGUCUGUGCGGGUCGUUCUACCUGUAGGUGUGUUUUUUGAUGCGUUUGUGGGAGCAGUGUUUUGCUGGGACCAAAGGAUUUGGGCACAGACUGGUGAGUGUUUUUUUCCCUUUUCCUCCUAGAAAACUCUGAAUCAGGCUGCGUGGAUGGGGGGAUGAGCUGGAGCAGCCUCUAAAGAAUCCCACCCUUUAACCUGCACCAUCCCUUCAUUCACACUCUUCAUUUUAUUUAUUUUUAACAUUUUGAUGUGUCACCCUCAUGCCCAUCUUGGGUGGCAGACCUCUACCCUUCUCUGGAAAGCUUCCUGGUCUCCAGCCCUUUCCCGUCAUCACGGAUGAGUCAAGAGGAAGAUGCUCAGGUUUUACAAAAAUGCAGCAAGGUGACUCAGCUGAGGUCGGCAUUCACCAUGUGGAGAACUGGGGACAUUGGUAUGGGCCCCAGAGCCCCGGUGGGUACAGGAACCAGCCUUAAUUGGGUGUGUCAUGCAUCCCUUUCAUCUGCUAUCACCUCAACUGCUUCCAGCUCUUCUGCAGAAGGUCUGUUCACAGGAAGACACUCUCGCCCAGGAGAUGAACUUGAAGUAGAAUGAAGACCUUGGCAUUCCCGUCAUGGCGCAGUGGUUAAUGAAUCUGAAUAGGAACCAUGAGGCUGCAGGUUCGAUCCCUGGCCUUGCUCAGUGGGUUAAGGAUCCAGCAUUGCCGUGAGCUGUGGUGUAGGUCGCAGAUGCGGUUUGGGUCCCACGUUGCUGUGGCUGUGGUGUAGGCUGGUGGCUACAGCUCCGAUGGGACCCCUAGCCUGGGAACCUCCAUGUGCCGCAGGAAGCGGCCCUAGAAAAGGCCAAAAGACAAAACAGAAAAAAAGAGAAGACCUUAACGCUGGCUAGUGCUGAGAUCUUUGGCAAUUUCCUGCAUUGGCGCCCCAGGUUCUUGCUUUUUAAAAUGAAAUAAUAACUGUGUUGCAUUAGUUAAGAUACAAGGCAUGGCAAGCUCAGACCACAGCGCUUUGCCCAGAUUAGGGUUGCAUCUAGUAAUGCUCUCUUCCCUACAAAGUUAACACCACGCUAAUUACGUUACUGUUGACCAUGUUCUUGAUGCCGUUACAUCCUGUGGUUUAUUAUAUAACCGAAGCUUUGAACUUCUUAAUUCCCUUCCCUUCCUUCACCUCCUCCACCUUCCUUCUGGCAGCCACCUGUUUAUUCUCUGGUUUUCUGAGUCUGGGUUUUCAUUUGUUUUGUUCUUCGGAUUCCACUUGUUCCAUGUAAGUGAGAUCAUAUGAUAGUUGUUUUUCUCGGACUUAUUUCACUUAGCAGAACCACUCUAGAUCCACGCAUGUGGGCACAAAUGGCAAGAUUUCAUUUUUCUAUGGCCGAGUAAAAUGCCCUUAUAUGUACGCAUAUAUCAGAUCUUUGUCUAUUUGUCACUUCAUGGACUCUCUGGUCGCUUCUAUACCUUGGCUAUUGUGAAUAGUUCUGCUCUGAACCUUGGGGUGUGUGUAUUUUUUUGCAUUACAGUUUUCAUUUUUAGGGAGAUAGACACCUAGGAGUGGACUUGCUGGAGUAUAUGGUAGUUCUAGUUUUAGAUUUCUGAGAAAUAUCCGUACUGUUUUCCACAGUGGCCGCCCCAACGCACAUUCCCACCAAUAGCGUACGAGGGUUCCCUUUGCUUCACAUCCUCGCCAGCACUGCGCAGUCGUGGUCUUUUUCACGAUCACCAUACUGACUCGAGGGAGGAGAUAUUUCAUGUUGGUUUUAACUUUCAUGUCUUUGAUGAUCAGUGGUAUUGAGUGUCUUUUCAUGUCUGCUUUGGGAAAAUGUCUAUUCAUUUCUUCUGCCCAUUUUUUAAAUCAGCUGUUUUUUUUUUUUUUUUGCUGUUGAGGAAUAUGAGCCAUUUAUAUAUUUUGGGUAUUAAACCUCUUGUUGGUCAUAUCAUUUGCAAAUACUUUCUCCUAUUCAGUAGAUUGUCUUUUUUUUUGGCAAUGGUUUCUUUUGCUGUGCAAAAGCCUUUAAAUUUAAUUAGGUUCCUUUUGUUUAUUUUUGCUUUUAUUUCCUUUGUUUUAGGAGGUAUAUCGAAAAAACAUUGCUAUGAUUUAUGUCAAAGAGUGUUCAGUCUUUAUUUUAUUUUAGGAGUUUCAUGGUUCCUGGCCUUAUAUUUGGACCUUUAAUCAAUCAAUUAAAAAAUUUUUUUUAAAUUGUAGUUGAUUUACAAUAUUCUGUUAAUUUCUGCUGUAUAGCAAAUUGAC
rnacentral:lncRNA from 1 species